rnacentral:rRNA from 1 species
AUUGAACGCUGGCGGCAUGCUUUACACAUGCAAGUCGAACGGCAGCGCGGGCUUCGGCCUGGCGGCGAGUGGCGAACGGGUGAGUAAUGCAUCGGAACGUGCCCAGUAGUGGGGGAUAGCCCGGCGAAAGCUGGAUUAAUACCGCAUACGACCUGAGGGUGAAAGCGGGGGACCGAAAGGCCUCGCGCUAUUGGAGCGGCCGAUGUCGGAUUAGCUAGUUGGUGGGGUAAAGGCUUACCAAGGCGACGAUCCGUAGCUGGUCUGAGAGGACGACCAGCCACACUGGGGCUGAGACACGGCCCAGACUCCUACGGGAGGCAGCAGUGGGGAAUUUUGGACAAUGGGGGCAACCCUGAUCCAGCCAUGCCGCGUGCGGGAAGAAGGCCUUCGGGUUGUAAACCGCUUUUGUUCGGGAAGAAAUCCUCUGGGCUAAUACCCCGGGGGGAUGACGGUACCGGAAGAAUAAGCACCGGCUAACUACGUG